rnacentral:lncRNA from 1 species
GUAUGCUUGUUCCUUUUCUUGUUCACUCAUUGAGUUUAUGCUCACCGCUUUCAACUUCAUAUUUUCAGAUUACGAGGCAGCUGGUAACUAGGUCGAGGUACCUUUGUAGACUCGACUAUUGGUAGGUGUCUCGACAUUUAGUAGCUGUACAUUCGUCAAGUUUCUCCGCUGGACAUCGAGUCUUCUUUUGUUAUGAAUAGACGAACCUAAUGUGAAUUAUUAAGAUAUAUGUUGUAGACAGUGUAUAUACACUUGUUUGGUAUACCAGUAUGAGGGGCAAUGUUCAAUAUUAUUUCGAUUCUAAGUUAUGAUAUAUAACUUAGCAGUUUAUGAUGGAAUAAUGAAUAUGUCAGAUUAAUAGGCUUGCUUAGGCUUAGUGGACUACGUCCAUUGGGUCCAUGCGCCGGUCAUGGCCUAAAAUUUGGGUUGUGACAAUGUUGGUAUCAGAGCUCUAGGUUUGUCUAGGUCAUAGGACUUCCAUUUGUUGGUCCAGUAGAGUGUCAGGUUUUUAUGUGGGAACUUCAGUUGUGAAGUGUGAAUCGCGGCACAUUUUACGACCAAGGGACUGCAUAGAUUCCCUAUCUUAGAAACCACCUUUCCCUUGAGUAUGAUUAUGAAAUGUGUUUAGUAACAGGUGUUUGCUCAUCUUGGUAAGAAUGCAGCCUAAGACAUGAGCCACCUCAAGACGGAUGGGGGAGCAAGAUGCUCCUACUGAGAUGGCAAAUAGGCCACGGGCAUCCAACCUAAGGGGCCGAGGUAGACGUGGCAGGGCCACUAGGCUGGUGAAGGUGGAUACUCCUGUGGGUAAGUAAGAGGAGGGACAGUCCUCAGGUGAUGUAGAUAGACACCCAACUGGGGGUAUUACCAUUGAGGAUUUGACGGCAGGCUUACAGGGAGUUAAUCGGGUUGUAGAGAUGAUGACGACUCGUAUGGAGGAUAUACAGAGGGUAGUAGAGGGGAGACCUACAGUGCAAGAAUCCCCUAACUCCUAAGGACAAGCCGACCGCCAAUAUCAUGAGGUUGAGAGGGGUCACUUAGAGAUUUCUUUUCCUGAUUUUCUUAAGCUUAAGCCUCCAUCAUUUUCAGGGUCCGAUGCAUCGAAAAAGCCCCAGAUCUUUUUAGGUAAGAUGGAGAAAAUAUGUAAGGCUUUGGGAUGCUCUAGUGUCUGAUCAAUCGAGCUAGCACAUUUUAGAGUGAGGCCUAUUUUAAUGGACAAGAUUAAAGAAACACAAGGUAAAGAUGAGUUUAUAGUUAAGGCCUUAGAGGAUCCUCAAGGAAGAAAAGGAAAAAUGUUUACCAAAGGCAUAGAUGGAGUGAAGAGGUAACAUGGGAGGUCGAUGAGGAUAUAUGGAAAAAGUAUCCCCACCUUCUUGUUGCAUAGAGGUAAGUGACCUUAUAGUUGAAUUUAAAUUCGAGGACCGAAUUUCUUUAAGUGGGAGAGAAUGUGAGACCUUGACCCUUAUAGACUCAUAGAUAGAAACAUACGCGAUAUCCCUAAUCAAGGGUAAUUUCGUCAUUUUCUUAAUAAGCCCAUAAAAGUAAGUUUUAAACAAUAUUAUGGCUUAAGUAGGCCUAAAGCAUAAAUGAAUGAUGAAAAUAUGGGUGAAAUGACAAGGAAAUAAAAUUUUUGAUGAUUUUCAUGUUUUAGGGGCAAAAUGGUCACUUUUGUCACUUGAGGAUAAAAUAGAAAUUUUUGAAAUUUUACACCACCCUAACACUUGUCAAGCCCAUGGAUUUCAGCCAUUAACAUUUUACAUUAUGGAUAAUUGAAACAUUUUAUGAGGUGGAGAAAGAUUGCUUAAUNGUUUUAGGGGCAAAAUGGUAAUUUUGUCACUUGAGGAUAAAAUAGAAAUUUUUGAAAUUUUACACCACCUAACACUUGUCAUGCCCAUGGAUUUCAACCAUUAACAUUUUACAUUAUGGAUAAUUGAAACAUUUUAUGAGGUGGAGAGAGAUUGCUUAAUGGAUAAGUAUUACACAUGGACCAAUGAAAACAUGCCAUGUGUCAAGCUUGGAUCAUUCUAGAAUUUCCUUGUCAAAUCUAUUUAAAACUCUCUUAGUAUCACCCAUAUGGCUGGCCAAAGCAUAAAGUGAAGAGGAAAGGAAAGAACACAAACCCUAGGUGGGAAAAUUGAAGAAAAAGUGUGGGAUUCUAAGGAAUUAAGCAAGGUAAAGUGAAAAUUCUUUAUUUUUACUUGAGAUUUACAAUACCCAUGCUUUAUUUUCUUAUUUCUAUGGUUGAGAACCAUGAUUUCAUAGUGAAUAAGUGGUAGGCAAAAUGGGUAUGGAGAGAGAAUGAUCUUGGAUUGGUUUGAUUUUUAGGUAUGUUAGUAUUUUUAGGUGAUUAAUGAUGUGUAGCAUGAAAACAAGUGAAGAAAACUACCAAAGGUUUAGUGCCCAUCAAUAGCCAAAUUCUCUAAGUGAAUAAUGAGGAAGAAUGGGAUGUUAUUCUAGGUGAUUUGAUUAAGAAAUAAUAGUUUUUGGUGUAGGAACUAAUGAAUAAUGGUGAGAAAAUUAAGUAGGAAAAAUCAUGGAGUUAGUGUACCAUUGUUGGCCAAAGUUCCAAGAAAAAAAAUGAAGAUAAAUUUUGCCUAAUUAUGUGUUAAUUAGUUUGUGCUUGGUGAAUUGAGGGAUUGGAAAAGAAAUGGAGCAAGUUGGAGUGAAAUUGGACGCAUUGGCCAAUUUAUUGGAUGAAAAAUCGACUUAGGCCAAUACCGGAUCUAGAUGGCUACCCGUGCAUUUUUCAUUUCAUAUAAUAUAUAUAUCGAGCCUGAAUAACUUAUGACUGUUAGACAUAAUUUAAUUGGAAUAUGUGUCAUGGAUUAUGGCUAGGUGGUGAGCCAUUGGACAUGGGUAAAGGACUGUACCCGCGAAUUGAAAAUAAGAGUGUUUCUACUCCUAAUACCAGUGAGUGGACUUGCAUUUCAAAACUUGUUUUGGGGAUAUAAUGUAUUUGUCAAACAUUUGAACGGAUUAUCCAGCUUUUCAUAAAAACAAGUGCCUUGGGAACAAGCUUUUGAUAGAUUGUCUUCAGGUUGUGACAUGUGACUAUUAUUGAUUCAUGCACUACCACAUUGUGUUGAUAUAUAUAUAUGAAUACAUUGUUGUGUAAUGAUAUUGACUCGGCUAUGUGCGAGUAGGGAGUGCUCAUAAGCCGAUGAUGACCCGAUUAUGUGCCAGUAGGGAGUGCGCAUAACAUGGUGAUGACCUAGCCAUGUGAGAGUAGAGAGUGCGCAUGAGCUGGGAAUGAUGAUGAUGAUGAUGGGAUGGUGUGCAUGAUGAUGAUGAUGGGAUGGUGUGCAUGUUGAUGAUGGGAAUAUGGUUAUAAAUGCAAAUAUGUGAGCAUUUGAUUUGUUGAAAUUUGAGAGUUUACAUGUGUUACAUGUUGCUAUUGUUAUUUUAGCAGGAUGGCUUAUUUUAAGGGAAAAGGAGACUUUUUCCUUGAUGUUUUGAUCCUCGCUGCAGCGAGAAACUCUCGAGUUUGAGGGCCUUCACCAGACUUGGUUCUCGCUGUAGCGAGAAUGAAGCUCGCUGCAGUGAGAACUUUCUGUCCAUUUUGCUAACUUGUGGGUUUUUGCCAUAUUUCCCAUUUCUUUGGUGCCAUAGUUGAGCAAUGAUCUUUGUAAAGUGAUUUACUCAUGUGGGGUUUACAUGAGGGGUUUAAAAGAGCUAAAACAAUUGCAUUGUUUUGAGAAAAUGAAUGCAUCAUGAUUUCGUUAAACAUUCCUUAUGGUAUGCUUGUUCCCUUUCUUGUUCACUCACUGAAUUUAUGCUCACCACUUUCAACUUCAUGUUUUCAGAUUACGAGGUAGCUGGUAACUAGGUCGAGGUACCUUUGUAGACUCGACUAUUGGUAGGUGUCUCUGCAUUUAGUAGCUGUACAUUCAUCAAGUUUCUCCGCUGGACAUCGAGUCUUCUUUUGUUAUGAAUAGACGAACCUAAUGUGAAUUAUUAAGAUACAUGUUGUAGACAAUGUAUAUACACUUGUUUGGUAUGCUAGUAUGAGGGGCAAUGUUCAAUAUUAUUUCGAUUCUAAGUUAUGAUAUAAGACUUAGCAGUUUAUGAUGGAAUAAUGAAUAUGUCAGAUUAAUAGGCUUGUUUGGGCUUAGUGGACUACGUCCAUUAGGUCCAUGCAUCGGUCAUGGCCCGAAAUUUGGGUCGUGAUAGUUGUGCUACCCAUAGGGCGGCACUUUGUUUUUGUCCCUUGAGUUCUUCCUUACGUAACGUCCAUAAGAUAGGCACCUAAUUUCUUAGCCCUUAUGGGGCAUGACAUGUAUGCGUCCCUUGAAUUUGUGAUGCUUAGGGUGCGUGGCAACAUAAUGUGUGUCUUGUGUGUGGCCCCUGAUUUCAUGGCCUACUUGUGUGCGGUUUACAAAUUUGGGAGCUAACAUGCAUGCCCUGAUGGCCGUGGUCCUGCUAAGCCCCUCUUCAAGGUGCCUUGCCUAUGUGGCUUGGGUUACUUGGGAAGCCCCUUUUUUUGCAUGCUGGUUCAAUGGUUGGUUAGGCUGGUGAUAACUCUAUUAUAUAGAGUUAUUUUUAACACACUUUGGGGAAUUUAGUAGCUAGACCUUUGAGUUUUAC